rnacentral:tRNA from 1 species
GUCCAGAUAGCUUAAUUGGUAGAGCAACCCAGGCUGGUAUCAGUAGAUGGCUCGUGGUGGCUUCGGUUUCGAAUCCCGAUCUGACCU